CCCACACUACUAACGAUGGAAUUAGCGCACUAAACAAUCCCUCGGAUUCUACAACCAUUCAUAAAAAAUACACGGCUUUAUAUUGAUGCUGAAAGAAAUAAUACUUAAGAAUAUUAAAACUUGAAGUACACAAAUUGAUGUUCCAACACUUUUCAUUCAUUGAUAUGUAUAACAUAGACAAAAGUAAUAUAUUACAUAACAUGGACAGUCUUAACACAGACUUCCUAAAAGCCAAAUGCUCACUAUUAAUUUUUCUCUUUUUCCUAAAGAUCAAAAGGUUCUCCCUUUGUCAGUUGUCUCUACCAUAAAAAUAAGCUUACACAAAUUUUCCCUAACUAGAAGAUUGAUUUAGACAAUACAAUUGAUUUUGAACCCAUUCAUCAUAAUCUUGUAGCAUCUGUUCAAGCGGCGGUGACACCGGAAUUUCCACCAUAGCGUGCAUCAUUAUGUUUCCAAGACCCUCUAGUGAACAACCCAAAUAGGCAUCAUGGUAAAUGAGUGUGUAUAUCUCAAGUGUGAGAUUCAACUUGACACCAAGUUCCAAAUUUGAUUCAGCAUAAGCAUCACCCCCAUGUCAUGUCAUAUUAGAAAGUUCCAAAGCCAUUUGAACCAAGCAAGCAAUAUUUAUCAAUUGAGGAAGUUCCAAAGUCAUUCGUUCAACUAUGUAAGGCUUUUGGUACUAGAUGCGGAUCAUAAUCAAUAUCCUGUAAACAAAAACAAAUUAGUGCAAAAAAGAACAGGAAGAGAUUUGAUCAAAUGUAUUUUAUAGGAACAUAUGAAGCACGAAACAAACAUCGGAAACGACAUAACCAUGUCGAUACCGAAAAUAAUUUUAAAAAAUGACAUAAUUCAAUGUAAUUAUUUGUCGGGAUCGUGUGUCCGACACCGACAUCCAUCACAGAGACACACCACACCUAAUACUUCUUAGCACAUAAUUUAUUGCAUAACAAUAUCUAGAAGCUAAUCAAUCUAAACAUGACUCAAACAACAAACUGAAAAGCAAUUUUCCAAUUUAGGUGUGGUAAGAGCAAUUGGAAAACAUGGAAAGAAUAGGAAGAAGGAGAAUAUGUGUGUCGAGGAAGGGGAUUUUCCAAUUUUAAGAAUGAACAUGUAAAACCGUUGAAGAAGAUGACUUCCCCUGAAGAAAAGAUUAUACGAAUAUAGAGCUAUAGAUCCGGCACGGUGGUUGGCAAUGAUUGAGCGACAGAGGAUGAAAGUGAUCGACGAAGAAAUUGCUCCUUUCACGGAACUAAAUGGACCAAUGAAAAGCUCUAUGCAAGAGGAUGAAGAAUAUAGUCUUAUUUAUUUUCCUGAUUAGAUAUGGCGGUCGGAAUAUGGUGGGUGGUGAUGAGUGCGAAGGGGGAAGGAAAUGAAAGGAAUUGUUCAGUGUUUGUGCAAAUAAAACGAUUUAUUUUUGUCUCAGUUUUUCUGUUUUUUUAUUAUUUUAAAAAGCCUUGACACGUGUCAAAAUUUGAUUGGUUCUAUGUCACAAUGUCACCAUAUUACUAUGGCACUGAAGUGCUAUGUCAUUUAAAUUCACAUAAUUAAGUUAAUAAUUAUUAUCCCAUUAUUUUUUUUUACCCACCAAGAGAAACAUGGUAGAGUCCAAAAAAAAGAAAAGAAUAAUAAAAUGAGGGAAAUAGGAAAUUUGAAAUUGAUUCAAUGAAAUUGAUUGAUUAUAACGUGUAGAAUGCACUUUAUAUAGUCAUUCUAUGGUAACUAAUAUAACCAACAAGCAACUAAGUAUAAUUAACUAACUAGUAAAUAUUUUAAUCAGUAAUAACAAAUCUCUAACUGCAUCUAACAGUCCCUUGCAAGUUGGAAGUGUAGCUAGAUUAACAUUUUCAAACUUGAGAAGAACAAUAAAAUUAGGGUGAGGCUGUGAUGUAUGGAAAUAUUUUCAACGGACAUAUGUACUCGCAUCUUUAAUUAGUAAUUUAGGCACAUAUGCACAGCUCAAUUGUAUCAAGGCAGUUAAAAGCCAUACCAACAAUAGAAGCUCACUUUGAUUUCUACAGGCCAUUUUCUUAUCCAUGUCUUUCCUUCCUAUUUGUUAAAUAGGCUUGAAUCUCAUCCCAAAAUUUGUCUAAAAGAUAAAGGUACUCAAACAUAUUUAUACAAUCAAGAACCUGAAAACCUAACCCGGGAAACUUCAACACUAUUCACAAUCAAAUUGGCCGAACUAUUCUAACAGAGCAUUGCUAUAUAUCCCGAGAGAAUGUGUACCGAGUGGAUCGUGAAACAACACUUAGCCAAUAAACUUGCUUGUUGGCCGGAAAAUAUGGGAGGUAUAAUGGGGCAAAUAUUUUUUUUUGGAUGAUAAAUGGAGUAGCUAUGGUGAAAUUUUCGUUGGAUUUCUUUCGUUAUUCUAACACAAAUGUAACACCUCAGGCUUAGCUAGGUAUGGAAAUUUACAUAAACAGUUUAAAUAAUUCUUUACAUAUUUCUUCUAGGCAUAUAAUCCUUUAAAAUGCAAACUACGUAUAUAAAGAUGUGAUUCUCAUGAAUCACCGUAUACCAUUAAGAGUAUUUCAUUGGUAAUUUAUACCUAAAACUCCAAAUCAAGACUUGUAUACUCUCUCGAUAGAAAAACAAAAUCAAUGUCAUUUAGAAUUAGAUGAUGUGACUUUAUGGCUGAUGAUAUAAAAUAACUGAAAACAAAUCAAAUACCAUUUUCCACCUAGAGGAGCAAGUAAUGAAUCACCACAUCACACCAUUAAUUAAGUGUAUUUCGUUGUUGGGAAGUAUCUCAUCUGUGAGAUAGUCUUUGA
rnacentral:lncRNA from 1 species